GAAAAUGGAUUCAUCUGUUUAAAUGUAAAGAACAACAUGAUUAGGAGAAACCCUGCAUUUUCUAGUGUUCUUCUUUGAAACAUCAUUUCACCCUUUAGAGGACUUCCUCUUCCUACAGGUCCCCUCUAGGGAGUAGAGGGAAAGAGGAAAAUUAUACUGCUACCAGCUCCCUCCAACCCUGUUCUUAAGUGAAUUAUAUCUGUUUGGAAGGCAAUGGACUUCUCUACCACUUUACCACAGCCCAGUCCCAAGAGGAAGGAGGAAGGAGAACUCUGCCUUGCUCACAGAGGACAAGGGUGGAAGAAAGUCCUCCAGUCCCAUCUUUCUUGGGUUUUCUCAGUGGGAGUUGGGGUGGGUGAAGAGAAGAGUAUAUCAUAACCCUUUUCUCCUUACCCAGAGGUCUUCAUUUAUAUGCUGGUGAUUGACAAACACAUUUAGUUCUCCUGUCCCAAAUCAGUUGAAGGCAAAUCACCAUACCCAGUUAACUAGUGGCAGGUCUUUGCCAGCUUAGAGUCUUUCAGUAAUUUCUCUUGGAUCUGUACAGUAUUGAGUAAAAUUUGAGUUUAUAGCUCAGUCCUGCAGACCCUUCAUAAUCUGGUCUUCGCCUCCAUUCUACUUCCUUUUGCCUCCUCUUCCAUCAAAACACAGUCCUCCUUGGUCCAGCCAUGAUGAACCACCCACAGAACCUGGCUGUUUCAAAUAAAAUGUUUUUUGAUGAAUUUCCUGAGGUUAUGCAAACCACUUUUGGACAUCUGAGGAAGUAUAAUUUCUACUCUCAGCUACCUGCUUCAGUGUAUCUGAACUAAGAAGCCCUUCUUCAUGGAUUAUUGAAUUCAAUUAUUAGAGCAAGGCACACACUGCUGCCUACUGCAUAUUUCUCCUGCCUUCUCCUGCAUAUUUCUUCAGGCCUCAGCUCAAGCUUCAGCGUCUCUGAAAAUCCUUUCAUUAGAGCCCUUCAACUUGGGUUAAUCUAUCUUAAAAAUAUGUUCUUUCAAAGUAACUAUCAGUUUAUAUAUUUGUCUACCUUAACAGAUAGUGAAGAAGGUAAUUUCUUCUUGAAGAAGGUAAUUUGUUCAGUG